rnacentral:rRNA from 1 species
ACAACAAAUAUCCGCCCGGGAACUACGAGCGCCACGUUAAAACCCAAAGGACUUGGCGGUGCUUCAGACCCCCCUAGAGGAGCCUGUUCUAGAACCGAUAACCCCCGUUCAACCUCACCACUCCUUGCCCCUCCGCCUAUAUACCGCCGUCGCCAGCUUACCCUGUGAAGGUACUACAGUAAGCAGAAUGAGCAUUCCUCAGAACGUCAGGUCGAGGUGUAGCGUACGGAGUGGGAAGAAAUGGGCUACAUUAUCUGAAACAGAUUAUUUACGAAAGGCCGCCUGAAAUCAAGCACCCGAAGGUGGAUUUAGCAGUAAAAAGGGAA